UGAAUUCUUAUGUGAGCUUUGCUAGGUUAACAAAACUCCUAUUAGAAUUUGUACAAUUCAUA
rnacentral:pre_miRNA from 1 species